rnacentral:rRNA from 1 species
GGGACACGUGGUAUCCUGUCUGAAUAUGGGGGGACCAUCCUCCAAGGCUAAAUACUCCUGACUGACCGAUAGUGAACCAGUACCGUGAGGGAAAGGCGAAAAGAACCCCGGCGAGGGGAGUGAAAAAGAACCUGAAACCGUGUACGUACAAGCAGUGGGAGCCUCUUAAUGGGGUGACUGCGUACCUUUUGUAUAAUGGGUCAGCGACUUAUAUUCUGUAGCAAGGUUAACCGAAUAGGGGAGCCGAAGGGAAACCGAGUCUUAACUGGGCGUUAAGUUGCAGGGUAUAGACCCGAAACCCGGUGAUCUAGCCAUGGGCAGGUUGAAGGUUGGGUAACACUAACUGGAGGACCGAACCGACUAAUGUUGAAAAAUUAGCGGAUGACUUGUGGCUGGGGGUGAAAGGCCAAUCAAACCGGGAGAUAGCUGGUUCUCCCCGAAAGCUAUUUAGGUAGCGCCUCGUGA